UGGGGAAUUUUGGACAAUGGGCGAAAGCCUGAUCCAGCAAUGCCGCGUGUGUGAAGAAGGCCUUCGGGUUGUAAAGCACUUUUGUCCGGAAAGAAAUCCUUGGCUCUAAUACAGUCGGGGGAUGACGGUACCGGAAGAAUAAGCACCGGCUAACUACGUGCCAGCAGCCGCGGUAAUACGUAGGGUGCAAGCGUUAAUCGGAAUUACUGGGCGUAAAGCGUGCGCAGGCGGUUUGCUAAGACCGAUGUGAAAUUCCCGGGCUCAACCUGGGAACUGCAUUGGUGACUGGCAGGCUAGAGUAUGGCAGAGGGGGGUAGAAUUCCACGUGUAGCAGUGAAAUGCGUAGAGAUGUGGAGGAAUACCGAUGGCGAAGGCAGCCCCCUGGGCCAAUACUGACGCUCAUGCACGAAAGUGUGGGGAGCAAACAGGAUUAGAUACCCUGGUAGUCCACGCCCUAAACGAUGUCAACUAGUUGUUGGGGAUUCAUUUCCUAGUAACGUAGCUAACGCGUGAAGUUGACCGCCUGGGGAGUACGGUCGCAAGAUUAAAACUCAAAUGAAUUGACGGGGUCAUA
rnacentral:rRNA from 1 species